rnacentral:rRNA from 1 species
CCUACGGGCGGCAGCAGUGGGGGAUAUUGGACAAUGGGGGAAACCCUGAUCCAGCGACGCCGCGUGAGUGAAGAAGUAUUUCGGUUUGUAAAGCUCUGUCAGCAGGGGAGAAAGAAAUGACGGUACCUGACAAAGAAGCCCCGGCUAACUACGUGCCAGCAGCCGCGGUAAUACGUAGGGGGCAAGCGUUAUCCGGAAUUACUGGGUGUAAAGGGAGCGUAGACGGUGAUGCAAGUCUGGAGUGAAAGGCGGGGGCCCAACCCCCGGACUGCUCUGGAAACUGUGUAACUUGAGUGCAGGAGAGGUAAGCGGAAUUCCUAGUGGAGCGGUGAAAUGCGUAGAUAUUAGGAGGAACACCAGUGGUGAAGGCGGCUUACUGGACUGUAACUGACGUUGAGGCUCGAAAGCGUGGGGAGCAAACAGGAUUAGAUACCCCUGUAGUC